AGACGGAGGGCGGGGGGGCAGAGAGGGCAAUAGCACCCUCAGAACUGGCAGACCCCAGGCCUGGUGCUCCGGGCUCAGAGCCAGAAGCUUCCCCUUCCCUUCAGGAGCAACGGUCUUGGAGGCAAGGGCUUUCUCAUACCUGGACACCGUGUCCCCAUCCCUUUCCCAGCGAGCAGGCAAGGCAUGUCUUUGCCAGCAAGAGAGAUGGGUUUUUCUCUCAGAUGAGGAAACUGACAUUCAGAUGGAAAGUCACACCCCUAAAUUACAGAGCUAGAAAACAGAGCUGGGAUUUCAGGUGGUUUAAUUUCACACCUACAGAUGUGGAAACUGAGGGACAGAAGUUGUUACAGUGGUUUUAAAACAUGCCUGCAAAUCCUGUGAUACGUCCUUCAAGAAGUAAAGCCUAAUUCCCUUCCCCUUGAGUAUGGGCUGGGAUCUGUGACUUGAUUGCAAGGAAUUAGAAUGAGGUAUAGAUGGCACGUGUGACCUCUGAGACUAGAUUAAAAUGGUGAUACAGCUUCUACCUAGCUCUGUCUCUCUUGAGACAUGUGCCUUUGGAGACCUGAGCCACCAUGGAAGAAGCCAGGCUGCCUUGAAGCCAUCAUGCUGGAGAGACCACAUAGGGAGACCACACACAGAGAGAGAAAGAGCCUCAAGGAGCCCCAGCCACUCUAGUCUCAGCAGUUUGAGUCUUUCCAGCCCAGGCAGCAGACAUGUAGGUCAGGAAGCCUUGGAGAUGACUCUCGCCCCAGCCCCUGCCUGACUACAACUGCAUGAAUGACUCUGAGGGACAACCACCCAGCUGAGCCCAGCCAGCCCCCAGAACCAGGAGUGAUCAUAAUAGAAUGAUUCUUGCUAUGUUUGGGUGGUUUAUUAUACAUCCAUAACUGAUACGAUGGUGAAAUCAGCUGCCCUGUAUCAAGGAGCUGGAGAAGAAUGGAAACAAGAUUGGAGCCAGACAGUCUGGUUCAGGAGCCAUGAGCUCAGCCCAUAGAGCAUCCAGCCCUGCCUUCAUGGUCUUGCAGAUUUAAUCUAUCCAUUGCAUGGACUGGCAAGGCACUAGACUCACCCUUGUAGGCUUGGAGAAUUAAUUUAAAAAUUCAAGUAAAGCACUUGUGUUCAGUGCUUGGGACAUGGCAAGUUCACCAUCUUAGUUAAUGGCAACUCCAUCCUUGCAGAUGCUUAGCCAUAAAUCUUGGCAUUAUGCUCAAAUUCCUCCCUUUCUCUCGUAUCUCACAUAUAAGGUGUCUGCAGACCUGUCUGGUGCUACUUUCUUUUAGGUCCAGAAAGCUAUGCCUUAUCCCUCCCUCCCCCUGUCCCUUCACUGCUACAUACUGGUGGGAGCCUGCAUUACCGCAGCAGUUUCCUGACUGCUCUCCCUAUCUCAGUCCUGGCCCUUUUAGUCUCUUCUCAACACAACACCCAGAGAGAUCCCCUUACAAUGCAAGUCAGAUCAUCUCUCGCCUCUGCCCAAAACCCUCUUGUGACAGCCCAUUUCUCUGAGCACAGAAACCAAAAUUCUUGCUUCAAGUGAUUUCCAAUGCCCUACACUCUCUGCACCUCCCUCUCCAAUGCUUACCUCCCUGACUCAUCUCCCAACUCACCCACCCUGGCCUGGUUUACUCCACUCCAGCCACACCGAGUUCCUCGCUGCUCCUUGAACAUCCUGGGCACAUAUUCAUACUACCUUGAGGUUUCCAGUUGCUAUUCCCUUGGCUCGAAUUGCUUUUCCUGUUGCUGACCAAAUGGCUUACUUUCAGCUCUUUCAGAUCAUGGCUCAAAUGUCAUCUUCUUAUUGAGGCUACUUCUCACCACCUAUUUAAAAUGAUGCUCCCUUGUCUCUAUCUUUCCCUCUUUUUGAUUUUUUCUUCAUAGCACCUGUUGCUGUAAAACACAUCAAUAUCUUUUUUCUUAUUCACCUUGUUUCCCGACUCUCUCCACUAGAAUGGAAGCCUCACCAGGACAGAGAUUUUUGUCAGUUUUGCUCACUGCCCCUAGCAUAGUGCCUGGCACAUAAUAGGUGCUCACUAAACAGUUGCUGAGUGAAUGAAGGGAUGUUGGCUGUUGUUAUUAGGGAGGCCAGUUAGGAAGUUGUUGGGCUACUCCAGGUGAGGACAGACUGUGCUGUGGAGAUGGAGUGGGCAGCGCUGUGGUAUCUGGUGGGGAGGCAUGAGGAUGUUCUGGGUGUUUUGGCCUGUGUGGGAGUGUGGAGACAGGGUGGGAGGAGCCGGCUGCAAGGGAAGAGGAAGGUGGCAGGUUGGUAUGGGAGAAGCUUGAGGUGUUUCUGGAUGUCCAUGUGAGGAUUAGGUCCCUGAUAGAAAUGCAGGCGGGAGGCAUGGUGAAAAGUCCAGCAUAGAAGAACCCUGGAAACCCCCAGAGAGUGGUAAGGUGAGGCGGCUGGGAACAGACAGAGAAAACAGAGUUCCUCACUCCAGUGCCCACACGGUCAAGUGGGUUGCGUCAGGGAGCAGCAGGGCCUAUGGCAAAAGAAAGUGCGAGUGUCACUGCCAAAAGAGACAGGGACAUCUCCCAGUUUCUGUCAGUGUCAGUGUGUUGUCAUGUGGGAGACAGGCCCAGGCUUGCAAGAGUUUCUGGUUCAUUGAGGGAAGCCAGAAAUCUGAAUUUUCAUGUGAAAUUUACUGGGAUUUUUUUGAGGCAGUUCAUUCAAACUUUGCAAAAGCACUGUAUGGGCCAAAUAAGCCACCUCUGUGAGCUGAAUGCAGCCCAUGAGCAAUCAGCUGGCAAACUCUGGGGUAAGAGGAACAAGGAAGAAGCUGGGGCAGAGCCCUGGGGCCAUGGCUGCAGGGUUUGCUCUCUGAAGGAAAUCACAGGAGGUAGGAGGUUUUGGGAGAGAGUGGGUUGGAGUGCUGGGUAUCACAGAAGGCCACGAGUUUGAGAAUGGAAAUUUGGCCUACAGAGCAACACAGAACAAGUUUGUGCAAUGGUAGGGGCAGAAGUCAUCUUUUCAGAGCCAUCAGAAAGUUUCCACCUGCUAUGGCUGAAUGUGUGUGUUCCUCCCAAAUUCAAGUGCUGAAUUCCUAACCCCCAAGGUGAUGGUUUUAGGAGGUGGGGUCUUUGGGGGGUGAUUAGGUUAAGGGAGUGGAGCUCCCCAUGACUGGGAUUAGUGCCCUUAUAAAAGAGACCCCAGAGAGCUCCCUUGUCCCUUCCACCAUGUGAGGACACAGCAAAAAAAAUGUCAUCUAUGAACCAGGAAGAGAGUCCUCAUCAGACACUGGACCUGUCAAUGCCUCGAUCUUGGACUUCCAGCUGCUGGAACUGUGAGAAACAAAUUUCUGUUGUUUUCAAGCCACCCAGUCUAUGGUAUUUUGUUAUAGCAGCCUAAACAUACUAAGAUACCACCUUAUUUACAAGGGACAGUAAGGAAGAAGGAAGGAAAGUGUCUUUGCUUCAGAGCAGAGCUACCCUAGAAGGGAGUGGCUGAGGACUGCUCAGCCAGUGUGAAGCCCAUUCCCCACCAAUCCCAUUUGAAGGGAGAUGGAGCUGCUGACACCUUCCGGUGGCCUCCUGCGAUGUUGUGAAUCACAGACUUUGUGAAAUGAAAGGUUAAUGAUGUUCAAAACAGAAGAAUAAGGUUCAUCACUCCCACCCCCAACUCCUGUUCCAGGUGCAAGGCCUGGGGUGAGCUCCUUGGUCCGUCCACCUGAGAGCGACUGUGAGAGCUGGAAGCAGCACCGCCCAGCAGUGCUUUCCUCAUGCACAGCCACCUUCUCCAUCUGUGCCGCCCAGUACAGUAACCACGUGGCUGCUGAGCACGUGAAAUGUGGUUACUGUGACCGAGGGGCUGGAUCUGUUAUUUUAUUGAAUUUUAACUAAAAUAGCCUCAUGGGACUAGC